rnacentral:rRNA from 1 species
UACGUAGGGGGCAAGCGUUGUCCGGAAUCAUUGGGCGUAAAGAGCGUGUAGGCGGCUUGGUAAGUCCGCUGUGAAAGUCCAGGGCUCAACCCUGGAAAGCCGGUGGAAACUGUCAAGCUUGAGUCCGGAAGAGGCGAGUGGAAUUCCUGGUGUAGCGGUGAAAUGCGCAGAUAUCAGGAGGAACACCAAUGGCGAAGGCGGAUCUCUGGGCCAUUACUGACGCUGAGGAGCGAAAGCGUGGGGAGCGAACAGG